AACGAGCGCAACCCUUGCCUUAGUUACCAGCACGUUAUGGUGGGCACUCUAAGGAGACUGCCGGUGACAAACCGGAGGAAGUGGGGAUGACGUCAAGUCAUCAUGGCCCUUACGGCCUGGGCUACACACGUGCUACAAUGGUCGGUACAAAGGGUUGCCAAGCCGCGAGGUGGAGCUAAUCCCAUAAAACCGAUCGUAGUCCGGAUCGCAGUCUGCAACUCGACUGCGUGAAGUCGGAAUCGCUAGUAAUCGUGAAUCAGAAUGUCACGGUGAAUACGUUCCCGGGCCUU
rnacentral:rRNA from 1 species